AUUGAACGCUGGCGGCGUGCCUAAUACAUGCAAGUUGAGCGCUGAAGGUUGGUACUUGUACCGACUGGAUGAGCAGCGAACGGGUGAGUAACGCGUGGGGAAUCUGCCUUUGAGCGGGGGACAACAUUUGGAAACGAAUGCUAAUACCGCAUAAAGACUUUAAACACAAGUUUUAAGUUUGAAAGAUGCAAUUGCAUCACUCAAAGAUGAUCCCGCGUUGUAUUAGCUAGUUGGUGAGGUAAAGGCUCACUAAGGCGAUGAUACAUAGCCGACCUGAGAGGGUGAUCGGCAACAUUGGGACUGAGACACGGCCCAAACUCCUACGGGAGGCAGCAGUAGGGAAUCUUCGGCAAUGAACGAAAGUCUGACCGAGCAGCGCCGCGUGAGUGAAGAAGGUUUUCGGAUCGUAAAACUCUGUUGUCAGAGAAGAACGUGUGCGAGAGUAACUGUUCGUGCAGUGACGGUAUCUGGCCAGAAAGCCACGGCUAACUACGUGCCAGCCGCCGCAGUAA
rnacentral:rRNA from 1 species